AACGAACGUUGGCGGCAGGCCUAACACAUGCAAGUCGAACGCUGUAGCAAUACAGAGUGGCAGACGGGUGAGUAACGCGUGGGAACGUGCCCUUCGGUUCGGGAUAACUCAGGGAAACUUGAGCUAAUACCGGAUACGCCCUUUGGGGGAAAGAUUUAUUGCCGAAGGAUCGGCCCGCGUCCGAUUAGCUAGUUGGUGAGGUAAAGGCUCACCAAGGCGACGAUCGGUAGCUGGUCUGAGAGGAUGAUCAGCCACACUGGGACUGAGACACGGCCCAGACUCCUACGGGAGGCAGCAGUGGGGAAUAUUGGACAAUGGGCGCAAGCCUGAUCCAGCCAUGCCGCGUGAGUGAUGAAGGCCCUAGGGUUGUAAAGCUCUUUCGCCAGGGACGAUAAUGACGGUACCUGGAUAAGAAGCCCCGGCUAACUUCGUGCCAGCCGCCGCAGUAA
rnacentral:rRNA from 1 species